UUUUUUAUUACAAUUUUUUGCCUUUUUCUUUCAUUCUGGGCCACAAAAAAACAAUAUUCGUCAAAAAUAUCGGUUAAAUAAACCAACGGUUUCUAUCUAUACUUUCUACAACUGUGUUUCUUCCUACGCUUUCUCUUUAUUCUAUUUUCUUUAUUGUUCCUGCACUAUGCUUUUCAAUCUACUUUUCUUAUUUCACAUGAUAACCUCUAUGUUCUUCCCUCAUUGUCUUUUUCACUUUGCCUCCAGUUAUAUGCAUUUUGGUUUUUUAUUCGACUCCAUCUUUAAAUCACUUCGCUGCUACCAUUACAUUACUGGAGAACCGGAUAAAAUAUCCUUAAAAGAACCAAACAUGAGAUGCUUAUUCGACGCCCAUGAAGUGUUUGAAAAAAGGUACUAUAGGGAGACAUUGCCCACCCCCACGGCUUCAGGAAAUGGUGCUAUCUCAACAGAUUAUGUUAUGAGAGUCAUCUGAAAUGCAUCAAGAUAACGCCAGCGUAUUCCCUUCUAUAAUGGUUUUAAAGCCACCGGCAGAUUCUCGCAACUUAGCUUAAUGCAUUAACUGUGAAUCAAAUUUCAGUUAUACUUUUACUAAAUGGGAGCCAGGAUGUAUAUGGAACUGGAUAUGAUUUUGCUAGACAAUAUGAGAGAUUACUGUAUUAUCCUUAGGAGAUGUGCUUUAGAGUGAAGACUCGGACUUCCAUAAAUAUGAAAGAAACUUUGCAUAACGUUGGUUCA